UGCAGACAUUUAAGAUCUGUGGCAGAGCGCCCCUCCUGGGUCAGGGGGUUUUCCCUGAGAAGGAAGUCCAGGCAGAUAGCUGCAGUCAAGGCCAAGUGUGCCAGGCAGUCCUCUUGCGAGAUGUCUCUGAUCCCAGAUGUCUGAGGCCAGGUG